GACGAUCCGAGCGAACGUUGUUCGGAAUCACUGGGCUUAAAGGGCGCGUAGGCGGGCUGUCAAGUCUGGGGUGAAAUCCCACGGCUCAACCGUGGAACUGCCUUAGAUACUGACGGCCUCGAGGGAGAUAGGGGCGAGCGGAACUGUGAGUGGAGCGGUGAAAUGCGUUGAUAUUCACAGGAACUCCGGUGGCGAAGGCGGCUCGCUGGAUCUUUUCUGACGCUGAGGCGCGAAAGCUAGGGGAGCAAACGGG
rnacentral:rRNA from 1 species